AUUGUUUCAUUGUUCUAUAACUUCGAAGUAUGACCGGUUCUGGCUGGGUCUGUUGUUCGGUUCGAUGCGUUCUCCAGCCUCCGAUUCGGUUCAUCAACUGUGUCGGGGGUGGGGGGGAGGUGGUUCUUUCUAGUAGCAAUAGAUUAAGUGAUUGAGGGGCAAAAGAAACAUUCUCAUAUGUUGUUAAAGGAUGGCUACUUCUUUAGUUGAGCUACUUCUCUGGAUCUUUUAUUAGAUCGUUAUGGCGGUUCCGUUUUUUUCAUGGUUUCCUUUUCCACCGUUUUGUGCUCGCCCAGCACAAUAAGAGCUUGGUUUGACAGCGGUUGUUUUGUUGGCUUUUCUUUUCAGAUAGUAGAUUUUCACUUGAAAGCUUUGGUUGUAGAGACUCUCGCGAUCAACGAGUGCUUUUGCGAAUGAACGGUUUUUAUGCAGUGGUGUGGAGUCGCUAUCCGUGAUGCAAAUAUUCCGGCUAGAUCGGUGCAAUCACAACACACGAUUGUAUCUUUAUUUGGGAUCUUCGGUUUUCACCGGACCGAUCUUUUUUGUUCCUUAUGCAUUUAAUUGGGUUUUUAAUUUGUUGUAGUUGUUCGCAUUAGAAGUGGUAGCCAAAAAACGUUGUAGGUGCUUGUAUGGUUUUGGAAUGGCCUUUCUACUGUCAGUAGUGAAAAUGAGCAUUGGCUAGGCAUCAGC
rnacentral:lncRNA from 1 species